UACGAAGGGGACUAGCGUUGUUCGGAAUUACUGGGCGUAAAGCGCACGUAGGCGGAUUUGUAAGUCAGGGGUGAAAUCCCGGGGCUCAACCUCGGAAUUGCCUUCGAUACUGUCUGUCUUGAGUCCGGGAGAGGUGAGUGGAAUUCCUAGUGUAGAGGUGAAAUUCGUAGAUAUUAGGAGGAACACCGGUGGCGAAGGCGCCGCUCUGGGCCGAAACUGACGCUGAGGAGCGAAAGCAUGGGUAGCAAACAGG
rnacentral:rRNA from 1 species